rnacentral:rRNA from 1 species
AGCGGCGGACGGGUGAGUAACGCGUGAACAAUCUGUCCCACACAGGGGGAUAACGCUUGGAAACAGGCGCUAAUACCGCGGUAGACAACUUAGUGGCAUCACAGAGUUGUGGAAGAAGGAAUUCGGUGCGGGGUGAGUUCGCGUCCCAUUAGAUAGUUGGUGAGGUAACGGCUCACCAAGUCAGCGAUGGGUAGCCGAUCUGAGAGGAUGACCGGCCACACUGGAACUGAGAGACGGUCCAG